GUCCAAGUGGCCUAGUUGGUUAAGGUAUUAGUUUCCGGAGUUAAUGAUCGCGGGUUCGAGUCCCGUCUUGGACU
rfam:Candida parapsilosis strain CDC317 annotated contig 005569